AACAGAUUAAGUCCUCUCAGGAGCUGAUGUUUGAGGUGGUAUCAACAGAUUUCCAGAACUAGAAGAGCUGAUAUUUUUAAAAGGGUGUAGACAGGGUCAAUAAGAAGGAAAUCUCUAGAAUCGGAGUGGUGACCUCAUGUUAGGGGUCAGCAAGAAUCCAUGUACAAUGGUUCAAAGCCCUGUGCUAUGAGGGAGAGAUGUCAGGAGGUGGAAGAGGAAAGAGGAUCACAGAGCAUCCCCAGCGCCAUUGAUCUCCCAGGAACUACUCACCUUGAAUAGGUCACUUUCACACACACACACACACACACACACACACACACACACACACACACAGAGGGGUGGGUCCAUGUCCCUUUGAGUGGACUACCACUUCUUUCCUCUAGUCUCACUUACCUGUGGUUGUCGACAUUUCCUCCCAGUGCACCAAGAAAUCCCAAAGACAGGCCUGACAGUCUCCCAUGGAGACCUUCUUGAAGAAGUUGCUCACAGCCCUGUCCUUCUCCCACUUCUCUCUCAUCCGUCUCCCUCCAGAAUGAACCACUGUCCAGUGUCCAUUCUCCAAAUCAAAGAGGAGGCACAUUUGUCCACUGAAGCCAAACUGCCAGGAUCCACUGAUGUGUCCAUCCUCUUCACAUCGACAUGUCAUCCUGCCCUGCAAGGUACCCAGGAUCGGCCAACACACAGCCUUUCUGGAUACAUGCCAGAUGGCUCUGCAGGAAAAGCCUAGAUGGAAGAGGACUUUCAGAACCGAACCCAGUGUCCUGCCAGAGAUGGAGAGCAUGUGGGGGCUGCUUCUGAGGAGCAUUUCAUUUAUAGAAUGGAGCCCCUUUUCAGAAUGCAUCCCCAGAGAAGGAAGCCACGUUCCAGUGAGGAGUGCCCUUUCAUCACCACAGUAAGCAGAGGUCCUUUCCUUCUUUCCCAAUGAGCCGCAUGACCGUGGACUCAGACAGUGAGAUCCCAUGAGGAACAAGACUCUGGAGAGGGGUUGUCUGUACUCUUAACUUGAAGCUGUCAUCAAUGACACAGCUCCUAGCAGACUGGUGUUUGUGGAUGACAUCCCUUCUGACCAGGUAGCUAAUCCCACAGGCAGUGUCAACAGACCUGUGGACCAGGUCUUGUUGAGAAAUUCCCUGUGGCCUCUACUAACUUGUGCUGCCAUAAAAACAAUUUAAGAUUCUCCCAAUUCAUGUAAGGCAAUCCACCAUGGGCUUUUCUCCUUCUAUAUACACAUGGGUAUCAGGAAGAUUUCUGUGAUGAAGCCUUCAUAGCUUACAACCUUCAGUGAGCAUCACUGCCACCUAAAUUUCAGAAGCUUGAUUUUUUUUUUUUUAACACAGAACAAGAAAUGUUUAUUAUCUUGAAUGCUGGUGCAUAACCAAAAACAAGAUUAAUUAGAGGAGGAGACAGAGGGAAACUUAAAUACUGAGGUGGAUUUCUGGGAAGAUUUAAAACUUUUAAGGGUUGUUCAUAAUGUCUUUUUUUAGAUGUAGGGCUUUCCUUUUACUGGACAAUUUUCACUUAACAUUUCUUACAUUAUGAAAUUCAACCAGUCUUUGGCCUGUAAAGUUAAAUGAAAAAAGAGAGCAAGAGAAACAGAAAAUUCCCUAGUAUAUACUGAUGUUUGAAAGAGUUUGUAUUCUUUGUACCUUCAUGUACAUUUUACAGUCUAAAUUUGAAACUUUAUUAAGGAUGUCUUAACUUUUGCCUUUUAAAAAUGUUCAAGGCAACUAAUUUUCUUGAAUUAAAGAUUACAGUAGCUUUAAAAAUGAUCAAGAUAAACGUACAAACAAAAUCUCCAUUGUCCUUGGAAACAUGUUUUAAGAUAUAGCACACAUGACACAUACCUCUUUGGGGACUAGAUUAUCCUUUGAGAUCCUGAGGAAUACUGGGUGGAAGAUUUAUUUUACACCAAAAUUUAGCCUUUGAUAACCACAGCUUGGAUAGAUCACAAAGUUGAAUCUUUAAAGUUUUCUCAAUAUGCUUUCAGUCCAAAUAACUCAAAACUUAUGUCCUAAGGUGGAUAAAUUGGUCAUUUUUUUCCUCAUAUAAUUAUCAUCAAUGGGCUCUUGACUGGCAGUCUAUCUUGGUCGUAACUUGCAAAGCCAUUCCUUACAGUGAAACAUGAAAGAUUAUCUUCCCCAAUAAGAGGAAAUUAAUCUGAAUAAACACAAAGUCAAAGCCAUAUGUGUCUCUGGACAUUCUUGAAAACAGGUUUCGACAGUACUGAGA
ensembl:lincRNA